rnacentral:rRNA from 1 species
ACGGGAGGCAGCAGUGGGGAAUUUUGGACAAUGGGGGCAACUCUGAUCCAGCAAUGCCGCGUGUGUGAAGAAGGCCUUCGGGUUGUAAAGCACUUUUGUCCGGAAAGAAAACCUCGGGGCCAAUACCUCUGGGGGAUGACGGUACCGGAAGAAUAAGCACCGGCUAACUACGUGCCAGCAGCCGCGGUAAUACGUAGGGUGCAAGCGUUAAUCGGAAUUACUGGGCGUAAAGCGUGCGCAGGCGGUUCGCUAAGACCGAUGUGAAAUCCCCGGGCUUAACCUGGGAACUGCAUUGGUGACUGGCGGGCUAGAGUAUGGCAGAGGGGGGUAGAAUUCCACGUGUAGCAGUGAAAUGCGUAGAGAUGUGGAGGAAUACCGAUGGCGAAGGCAGCCCCCUGGGCCAAUACUGACGCUCAUGCACGAAAGCGUGGGGAGCAAACAGGAUUAGAUACCCUGGUAGUCCACGCCCUAAACGAUGUCAACUGGUUGUCGGGUCUUCAUUGACUUGGUAACGUAGCUAACGCGUGAAGUUGACCGCCUGGGGAGUACGGUCGCAAGAUUAAAACUCAAAGGAAUUGACGGGGACCCGCACAAGCGGUGGAUGAUGUGGAUUAAUUCGAUGCAACGCGAAAAACCUUACCUACCCUUGACAUGUAUGGAACCUGGCCGAGAGGUCGGGGUGCCCGAAAGGGAGCCAUAAC